GUUAUAUUCUUUAAACUUAAAGAAUUUGGCGGUAUUUUAAUCAAUUCAGAGGAACUUGUUUUUUGAUCGAUAGUCCCCGUUAAUUUUUACUAAAAUAUUUGUAUAUCGUUGUCGAAAGAUUAAAUUUUCUAGGUUUAUAAUUUUAAAAGAUGUCAAAUCAAGGUGCAGUUAAUAAUUUAGGGAAAAUGAGUUACAAUAAGAUUAUUUAGGAUAUAAUUGAAGGUGGAUUUGAAUGUAAAUUAGUUUUA
rnacentral:rRNA from 1 species